rnacentral:rRNA from 1 species
UACGUAGGCAGCGAGCGUUGUUCGGAGUUACUGGGCGUAAAGGGUGUGUAGGCGGUUGUUUAAGUUUGGUGUGAAAUCUCCCGGCUCAACUGGGAGGGUGCGCCGAAUACUGAAUGACUUGGAGUGCGGGAGAGGAAAGUGGAAUUCCUGGUGUAGCGGUGAAAUGCGUAGAUAUCAGGAGGAACACCGGUGGCGAAGGCGGCAUCCUGGACCGACACUGACGCUGAGGAGCGAAAGCCAGGGGAGCAAACGGG